GUUUCUAUAGUUGAAUAACAACGAUGAUUUUUCAU
rnacentral:tRNA from 2 species